GAUGAACGCUAGCGGCAGGCUUAACACAUGCAAGUCGAGGGGUAUAGUUCUUCGGAGCUAGAGACCGGCGCACGGGUGCGUAACGCGUAUGCAAUCUACCUUUCACAGAGGGAUAGCCCAGAGAAAUUUGGAUUAAUACCUCAUAGUAUAAUGCGUUGGCAUCAACCCAUUAUUAAAGUCACAACGGUGAAAGAUGAGCGUGCGUCCCAUUAGCUAGUUGGUAGGGUAACGGCUUACCAAGGCUACGAUGGGUAGGGGUCCUGAGAGGGAGAUCCCCCACACGGGUACUGAGACACGAACCAGACUCCUACGGGAGGCAGCAGUGGGGAAUAUUGGUCAAUGGACGCAAGUCUGAACCAGCCAUGCCGCGUGCAGGAUGACGGUCCUAUGGAUUGUAAACUGCUUUUGUACGAGAAGAAACACUCCUUCGUGAAGGAGCUUGACGGUAUCGUAAGAAUAAGGAUCGGCUAACUCCGUGCCAGCAGCCGCCGUAA
rnacentral:rRNA from 1 species